GGACUACUCGGGUAUCUAAUCCUGUUUGCUCCCCUAGCUUUCGUGCCUCAGUGUCAGGAGUUGUCCAGGGACUCGCCUUCGCCACUGGUGUUCCUCUCGAUAUCUACGCAUUUCACUGCUACACCGAGAAUUCCAGUCCCCCCUCCAACCCUCAAGCCAGGCAGUUUCCAAUGCAGUUUCGGAGUUGAGCUCCGAGAUUUCACAUCCGACUUACCCGACCACCUACGCACCCUUUACGCCCAGUGAAUCCGAACAACGCUUGGGACCUCUGUAUUACCGCGGCUGCUGGCAC
rnacentral:rRNA from 1 species